UACAGAGGUCUCAAGCGUUGUUCGGAUUCAUUGGGCGUGAAGGGUGCGUAGGUGGCGCCGUAAGUCGGGUGUGAAAUUUCGGAGCUCAACUCCGAAACUGCAUUCGAUACUGCGGUGCUUGAGGACUGGAGAGGAGACUGGAAUUCAUGGUGUAGCAGUGAAAUGCGUAGAGAUCAUGAGGAAGACCAGUGGCGAAGGCGGGUCUCUGGACAGUUCCUGACACUGAGGCACGAAGGCCAGGGGAGCAAACGGG
rnacentral:rRNA from 1 species